CCAGAGUGAGGCCACAGCUCCAGUGCCCCUGCCCACAGCGCCUCUGAAGGCUGUUGUCCCCAGGGCCAGGUCCAGCACAGGGUGGGUGGACAGCAUCUGCAGAAGAGAGUGAAUGGGCCUGACGAGGCCGGUGGACACUCCUGAGCAUACAUCCCCCAGCCCAGAUGCCCACGCAGGACCUGGCCUGGCCUCAGGGACCCCCACUCCAACCCCACCCCCUCAGUUCCCGGCUUGCCCCCAGAGGCCCGGCCCCACCACACUCUGACAGCCAAGCCUGCCGCCUGCGCCUGCUGCAUCUGCUGCCCACCUGGCGGCUCUCCGCUCCGGGCCCCGCUGACCUUGGGCAUGAGGACAGCGGCCACUGAGGCCUUUGCAUUGGGGCUCAUCUUCCCUCCACAGCCCCACAACCCAACUGAGAGGCCGGCUCCUGUGUGGACUCACGGCAGCGCCGACAGUAAGGCUUUCAUUUCAUUGUGUGGGCUUCAGGCUUUGGUCACCAACACAAGCAGACGUGAUGGAUGUGUUAACAGCACAGAUGUAGAAAUAAAGCCCAAUGUUUUCUGGAGAAUGAGUGAGUGAGCUCAUGGUCAUUUGUGCAACCAAACGGAUUCUUCUGACUGCUGAGCCUUCAGGCUUCCAGAGCACAUUCAAAUUCAUGUGGUGGCACCAGUAACCCUGAAUUACUCUUACUAGCAAAGCUGUUGAUAGCCACCAACUCUUCAUAGGUAAAAAAAUCAAUUGGUGAAAAACUGUUGUAUUCCAACAACUUCAAGUAUAUUUAUUUCUCUCAACUUUGGGGGGAAAAUUGCCAACAGCUUAACACAAAUCUAAGUAUACAAUGUCUUAGUUUUACACAAAGUGUAUUGACAUCAAAAAGAUAAAAUGAGGGAGAUAGCACAAAAAUGUAGAGCUUUAGUAUGUGUUCAAAGCUGUUAUCAGCUUGAAACAGGCUGUUCUAGACAUAGAUUAUUUCAUGUAAGUCUAAUACUGACCAAAAAGCAAAAGCCUUUAAUACGUACACAAAAGAAAAAGAAAGAAAUGGAAGCACACACUACAGAAAAUCAUCAAAUCACAGAGGAGGAAAGAAAGGAAAGGAACAGAGGAAUUGCCAAACAGACAGAAAAUAAUUUACUAAAUGGCAAAAUGAAGCCCAUACUUAUCAGUAAUUACUUUAAAUGUAAAUGGACUAAAAUCUACGAUCAAAAGACACAGGUGGCUGAAUGGAUAGGGAAAAAAAAACUUAACAAUGCCCAACUCCAUGCAGCCUAUAAGAGACUCCAUUCA